rnacentral:tRNA from 1 species
GUUGUUGUAGUAUAGUGGUGAGUGUCCCUGUCUGUCACGCGGGAAACCCGGGUUCGAUCCCCGGCAACGGCG